ensembl:lncRNA
GUUGUCUUGAAUUUGGAUUUAUUCAUCCCAUCUCAACAAAGAAUUAAUCUGGCUGCUUCUGUCACAUCUUCAAUAAACACUAGUGACCCAGUGCCAUUGGAAGCCAUGCCAUCACACUGCCUCCACCGUGUUUUACAGAUGAUGUGACAAAGGACAACUGGACCUUCUGGAUAUAAAUCCCUCCUUCAAAUCAUUCAGAAAGAGCACAGACUGAAACAUGCCCAAAGUUCCUCCAUUCCCAGAGCUGCCAAACUCCCACCUCAAAAAAUAUCUACUGAUCAGUCAACUCCAUUGGGGAUAACGGAUACGUUCCACUGAUUUGACAAAAAAAAGGUUUAACACUUGGACCGAUGAGAGAACAAAUGUAUCACACAAAUGUAGAAGUCCGCAGCCUAGAUAUUCCAACCAGUUGGUAACCACCUACACAUCUAAAAGCUCAGAACUACUGUACUAGGUAUCUUUAAGAAACAUUGGAAUAUUUUAGACUCAGAUCAAGCCUUAGAAAACACAUUUCAAUGUCAGUACACCAAGUGCAUUUAAAGGGUUUUCCCUUCCCAGUCCGGGCCAAGACAUAACUAUCAAAAAUAGCAUUCAUUGCAAUUCUCAUGAUGUCAUCCGUUAAACGCUGCCCUUGUGGCUUGUUUUAUGUUGGAGUGACUAGAAUACGUGAGCACAGUAGUUCCAACUGACGUGUAGAGGUUAGUUGCCCAGUGUCCCUUCACUUAAAAGAACGGGGCCACUCACAAUGCAAAUUCUUCAGCAGAAACAACCACAGAGAUGAUAUUGAUAAAUACCAAAGAAAUGAUUGAACUGAAUUUUCUUUUUACAAUCCGAUGUCUAAAUCACCUUACGGAAUUGAUAACUAUAAACAUGUUUUGUCAGAUAAGAAGACUAGUUCCAAUUAAAUAAAGAUUUCAUGCCAAACACUAAAAACAUCUAGAAUUGAGGUUCACAUACUUUCGAGCAGCACUGAACGUUUCUUUGUAAUUUGUUUUUAUUAACCAAUAUACACCUCUGGAAAAAAUUAAGAGACCACCACAACUUUUUCUUUCCUUUCCAAAAAAGCUGAAAAAGAAGGUUUUGAGUGAGGAACAGAAGGGUUAAAAUUAAGAGACCACUACAAAUUGAACGCUUCUGUUCCUCACUCAAAACCUUCCUUUUCAACUGUUUUGGAAAGGAAAGAAAAAGGUGCAUUGGUCUCUUAAUGUAUUCCGGACAUGUAUUAACCAGCCCCACUGGUUUAUAUAUUAAAUACGCCGAAGACUGAUAAUACACAGUAACUGUCUACUACUCCCCUUAACAAGACAACUAAGGUGUUGGUCAUCGCUAACCUAACUAUGUUUUUCAUUACCAUAAAAUGUUUGUUUGUUGUCUUUGUAUGACUGAUGAGGGCCACUAAAGUUUAAAACAUUUGCCAUAAUAAAACGUCUACAUUUUAAAUGGGGAGAGCUUUUAAAAUGUUGAUGUUUUAUUUGAUUUUGCGUCUGAACAUGGAAUCAUGUUGGUAGAGUGCUCUCCACUCUUUUCAUACUGUUCUAGAUAUUUCAAUACAUUAUGUUUAGAAAAGCAUGUUGUGUCACUAUCUGACAACUGUGUACUUCCUGGUAGUCAACAGUAAUUAAAUGGACAGAAGAGAGCCAAUUAGCUAAUGACCAGUAGAAACAAUACAUUCAAUUCCUUGGUGACCCACUGCAGAGACAAAAACAAGGUUAAAACACUGGUUGCAUAGACGCCAACUCUUUCUCUCCAACUCUCUCGACCAAAGUGC